rnacentral:rRNA from 1 species
AGACCUGAGUGUAAAGACCUUAGGGUGAAGCAAUUGGAGGGCAAGCUUUGGUGCCAGCAGCCGCGGUAACUCCAACUCCAAGAGUGUCUAUGGUGGAUGCUGCAGUUAAAGGGUCCGUAGUCGUGAAUGCAAUUAAAUGUCGUUGUUCAAUAGCGAUGAGUUUGCUAAUGUUUGCGGAACGGAUAGGGAGUGUAGUAUAGACUGGCGAAGAAUGAAAUCUCAAGACCCAGUUUGGACUAACGGAGGCGAAGGCGACACUCUUAGACGUAUCUUAGGAUCAAGGACGAAGGCAGGAGUAUCGAAAGUGAUUAGACACCGCUGUAGUUCCUGCAGUAAACUAUGCCGACAGCCUGUGUGUGAGAAUACGUGGGCGGGAGAAAUCUUAGUGUUCGGGCUCUGGGGAUAGUACGCUCGCAAGGGUGAAACUUAAAGCGAAAUUGACGGAAGGACACUACCAGGAGUGGAUUGUGCUGCUUAAUUUAACUCAACGCGGGAAAACUACCAGGGUC